CCUACGGGAGGCAGCAGUGAGGAAUAUUGGUCAAUGGACGCAAGUCUGAACCAGCCAAGUAGCGUGCAGGAUGACGGCCCUCCGGGUUGUAAACUGCUUUUCGUUGGGAGUAAAAGAGGGCUCGUGAGCCCCGUAUUGUAUGUACCAUCAGAAAAAGCACCGGCUAAUUCCGUGCCAGCCGCCGUGGUAAUACGGAAGGUCAGGGCGUUAUCCGGAUUUUUGGGGUUUAAAGUGAGCGUAGGGCGGAUUUUAAGUCAGCUGUGAAAGUCCGCGGCUCAACCGUGGAAGUGCAGUUGAAACGGGAUGCUGUGAGUGCACACAGGGAUGCAGGAAUUCAUGGUGUAGCGGUGAAAUGCUUAGAUAUCAUGAAGAACUCCGAUUGCGAAGGCAAGUGUCCGGGGUGCAACUGACGCUGAGGCUCGAAAGUGCGGGUAUCAAACAGGAUUAGAUACCCUAGUAGUC
rnacentral:rRNA from 1 species